GGAUUGUGGCUAAGCGGUAGAGCGCUUGCCUAGCAUGUGGGAGGCCCUGGGUUCGAUCCUCAGCACCA
rnacentral:tRNA from 1 species